rnacentral:lncRNA from 1 species
CUUCAUUUAUAUAAAACUUCAAGUUGGAAACAAAAUUUAUUAAACUUCAAACAAAUACAUAAUACGUUUCGGGGCACAGCCCCUUCGUCAGAAACGAGAUAAGUUCAUUCCAUGUCCUUAAAUACUUUAGGCUCAAUCUAAUUAAGAUACACUAAUAAUAUAUAGAUUUGCAUAUUAACAUUCCUCCCUCAAAUUUAAUCCCAGUGGUACAUAUGUAUUCAAUUUUUCAAUCCAAAAGCUUUCCCUCUCUGUAGGUUUAUUAAUAUCCGUGAUAUCAAUUUUUAAAGUCAUUAAGACCCAAAUGGCCCUCCUCAAAAAAAUGUUCAUACAAAUGUUGACCACAUAAACCUCUUUGGCCCUUAGAAUAUCUAUUAAGCGAACUCUUGUGGUUAUUAAAUCUAAGACGAAAUGACGUUAUAGUAUUGCCCACGUAUUGUUUACUACAUUUUCCGCAAGUAAUUAAAUAAACCACCCCCCCGAGAGUUACAAUCAAAGUGAUGGUUAAUGUGAAACGUGCGCUGUUGUACUGUACUUUGAAAAGUAUCCGCUACCACGAUGGAAUCACAAACUUUGCACUUCUUCCCCCCACAUUUAACCAU